UACAUUUUAUGCAAGGUGUUUGAAAUUAAACAAACAAAAAAUAGGAAGAAAAAAUUUAUAUUGGCCUUGAUAACGAAUCUUCUCGAAAUCGAUAUAGUACUGUUUUACUAUGCUGCUUUCGAAUGGUGGUACGGGGCUAGGGAAUCAUCCCUUCAAAGGAUCAAUAGGGAAGCGGCUUCAGUAAGAGGAUAUAAUCGAUUGCGUUGGGAAAGGUUUUUCGAAGGAACGUCCAACGGUUCAUACGGAUCAUGGGUCAAAGUUGAAUUUUUGCUCUAAUGCGGGAACGUUCCUUCGUAGAAAAGUAAGUUUCCUCGCCGAUUCUCUUUGGAUUCUAUUUUUUUGCAACUUCAGAAGGAUUCAAUGCAGUCGGGAAGGGAACGAUAAGGAAAACCUUAGGGCGAUUAAUAGUGAUUCCGAAAAAGAUGUUCUGCGAAUCAUUAUUGAAGAAGAAGAAGAGGAUGAAGAUGAAGAAGAAGGAGAUACAGGGGAUGAAGUAGUAGAGGAGAUAUACUAAACCAACCGAAGACGAAAACAGUUCCGAUAGCCUGGAGGUAUUGCAAAGGAGCCGAAUUGAUUUAUAUUUGAAUUGUAAUUCCAAAAAAGAUAAAAAAAUUUCAACAACGCUCCACCAGAUAAUAUAACAUUGCACAUCCAAAGUGAAAAGCAAUCACAUUGAUUCUAUCUAUUCUUACGUACAUACGACGAUACGAUUGUACAACAUGGAUAGUACAAAUGCCAGAAAAACAAUAAGAUUACUAUAUGAACACAUUUUCCUUUUUAAAAUUGCUUAUAAAUGGAAAAACAAUCAACGCUGUGUUUAUUUAAUGAUAAGAUAUUUUAGAGAUAUGAUAAAUUUUUUAUUCUAAAAUGUAAUGUCGAAUAUAAAGUCUAUAACAUAUUUAUUUAUUUUAUAAUAAUUUAUUGAAUAUUUUCGUAGAUUAUAUGCAGUCGAAGAAAGUAUUAUUAUUUAUAAGUGAAUUUAUCUCAUAUAUUCUAAAUGGUACGAAUCCCAAAUGGGAGUAAUUAUCCGAUAAGUACUAUAAUAUGGAAAUGAAAUCUUUUAAUAAAUCUUAUACAAAUAUAA